GAAAUUUCUAAAUUGAAAAGAGAGAGAAACAACACGAGGGUAAAGGAGGAAUUACGAGUAGCAGUUGAAAGGUGCCAUUUAUUAGAAGAACAAUUAAUUGCCACACAGAGAGAGGUCAUGAUUCUUAAAAACCAG